CCCCUCUCAGGUUCACACCUGGAGAGUUUCCAGUCCUCUACCAGUCUCGGCUAUGGGAGGGAAAGUCAAGCAGAGGUCUACCCAUUCCAUUCCUAGCUUGGGCUGCAGCUAGCGAGUGGAAAGCAAUAUGCUGCAAGU